UACGUAGGGGGCAAGCGUUGUCCGGAUUUAUUGGGCGUAAAGAGCGUGUAGGCGGCCAGGUAGGUCUGCUGUGAAAACUCGAGGCUUAACCUCGAGAUGUCGGCGGAAACCAUCUGGCUAGAGUCCGGAAGAGGAGAAUGGAAUUCCCGGUGUAGCGGUGAAAUGCGCAGAUAUCGGGAAGAACACCCGUGGCGAAGGCGGUUCUCUGGGCCUUACCUGACGCUGAGGAGCGAAAGCGUGGGGAGCGAACAGG
rnacentral:rRNA from 1 species